rnacentral:lncRNA from 1 species
GCAAGUAAAUGUAUUUCCUUGUCCAUUCCUUUCCAUAUCUACCUCACCCCAAUCCAUUUUCCUUCCAUAGGAAGCAUAAAGUUACAACACUCCCUGGAUCAUAGAACCAGAAAAAAGAAACCUUGGCGGCCAUCUUUUCCAAAUUCUUUUUACAGAAAAUAGACCUGGUGAGAUUAAGGGACCAGCCACCUAGGUCACCUUUCAGCAAGAGGAAAACUGAGAUUCCAAUGCAUGAACCCGUUGACCCUAGAUGCAGGACAAGGAUGAGACCUCUGCGCCCUUGAUUUGUUUCCCCGGUGUUUUAGCCCUGCUGGUUCUGCUACUUCACUGCAUGGGGCUAGAUGAUUCAUCACUGGCAAAUCACUGAUAAAUUUAGAGCAUCUGAAGAGAAUCUUUGGUGUUGCUGUAAUUAUUUGAUAAUAGUUCCCAGACCAAAAAGUAGAAGCGAGGCUAAAACAAGAAGAUGGCCAGAACGGCCUCCUUGAUUCAGUGAAUCAACCCCAAAGCAUUUAUUCAACGUCACUAAGUACUUUCUACGAGCCAAACACUGCGCUAGGCACUGGCGACACAAAAAGAAAAUGGACGCAAUCCCUGGCUUUAAGUCUUCCGUGGAUACACUCUCCCCUUUCCAUUAGAAGCGGGCAUUGCUAGCUCCUCGGAGCAGGCUAGAGGUGACCUUGGGCAAAUGACUGAUCUGGGUUUCAAGGACUGCCUCCAGGGGUGGGAAGGAUUAGCCCACAUUGUCACAGCUGCAGGGAGAGGCAGUGAUUUCAUGUGGGCAAAUAAAUCACUUCGUGAUCCUCA